GGACUACCGGGGUAUCUAAUCCUGUUUGCUCCCCACGCUUUCGCGCCUCAGCGUCAGUAAUGGCCCAGUGUGUCGCCUUCGCCACUGGUGUUCUUCCGAAUAUCUACGAAUUUCACCUCUACACUCGGAGUUCCACACACCUCUGCCAUACUCAAGGCCGCCAGUAUUAAAGGCAAUUCCAGGGUUGAGCCCUGGGCUUUCACCUCUAACUAAACGACCCGCCUACGCGCCCUUUACGCCCAGUAAUUCCGAGCAACGCUAGCCCCCUUCGUAUUACCGCGGCGGCUGGCAC
rnacentral:rRNA from 1 species